GCAGGAUCAAACAGGUAGCAUUCCUCAGGGACAUCGAGCCGCGGGACGUAAAACAUCCGCGCGACGUCGAGCGUCUAUCGAACGGGGCGUGUAAUGCCGAUUCGUGGGCGAAUAUAGAGGUCGAAGACCCCUUGCCCGCAGUGUUUUCCGCAUCCCGGAAGUCUAGCUACGAUCGUGGGCCGCGAAUGCAUAGCAUUUUGCAUGCACAUCGGAACACAAAUUUCGCUUCGAGGAUCCCCCGCAGCCGCACCGUGUUAACGGGCAGCUAUGGGAGAAAUUCGUAAAGAUUGCCCCCACAAUUCCAUCGACGUAGGUAUGCAGCACAGGAAACCAACGACUCGGCCAAGGCAUAAGAGCUCUUGCGCCAACAACUGAAGAGGAACGCACGAAAGGACGUCGCUACCCGAGUAGGGAUCCA
rnacentral:misc_RNA from 1 species